CACGUAGGGGGCGAGCGUUGUCCGGAUUUAUUGGGCGUAAAGAGCUCGUAGGCGGCUCAGUAAGUCAGGUGUGAAAACUCCAGGCUCAACCUGGAGACGCCACUUGAUACUGCUGUGGCUAGAGUCCGGUAGGGGAGCAUGGAAUUCCUGGUGUAGCGGUGAAAUGCGCAGAUAUCAGGAGGAACACCAGUGGCGAAGGCGGUGCUCUGGGCCGGAACUGACGCUGAGACGCGAAAGCGUGGGGAGCGAACCGG
rnacentral:rRNA from 1 species